rnacentral:rRNA from 1 species
UAACCUGCCUUGUAGCGGGGGAUAACUAUUGGAAACGAUAGCUAAUACCGCAUAACAAUGGAUGACACAUGUCAUUUAUUUGAAAGGGGCAAUUGCUCCACUACAAGAUGGACCUGCGUUGUAUUAGCUAGUAGGUGAGGUAACGGCUCACCUAGGCGACGAUACAUAGCCGACCUGAGAGGGUGAUCGGCCACACUGGGACUGAGACACGGCCCAG